AGCUUUGCGCAGUGGCAGUAUCGUAGCCUAUGAGGUUUAUCUGAGGUGCGAUUAUUGCUAGUUGAAAACUUUACCCAAUACCCCACCUUGACAACUUGAAAUGAUACAUUUUCUCAGUUUAAACAUUUGAUAUGUCAUCUAUGUU